rnacentral:rRNA from 1 species
UACGGAGGGUGCAAGCGUUAUCCGGAUUCACUGGGUUUAAAGGGUGCGUAGGUGGGCAGGUAAGUCCGUGGUGAAAUCCCCGAGCUUAACUCGGGAACUGCCAUGGAUACUAUUUGUCUUGAAUAUUGUGGAGGUAAGCGGAAUAUGUCAUGUAGCGGUGGAAUGCUUAGAUAUGACAUAGAACACCAAUUGCGAAGGCAGCUUACUACACAGUUAUUGACGCUGAGGCACGAAAGCGUGGGGAUCAAACAGG